rnacentral:rRNA from 1 species
GACGAACGCUGGCGGCGUGCUUAACACAUGCAAGUCGAACGGAAAGGCCCUGCUUUUGUGGGGUGCUCGAGUGGCGAACGGGUGAGUAACACGUGAGUAACCUGCCCUUGACUUUGGGAUAACUUCAGGAAACUGGGGCUAAUACCGGAUAGGAGCUCCUGCUGCAUGGUGGGGGUUGGAAAGUUUCGGCGGUUGGGGAUGGACUCGCGGCUUAUCAGCCUGUUGGUGGGGUAGUGGCUUACCAAGGCUUUGACGGGUAGCCGGCCUGAGAGGGUGACCGGCCACAUUGGGACUGAGAUACGGCCCAGACUCCUACGGGAGGCAGCAGUGGGGAAUAUUGCACAAUGGGCGGAAGCCUGAUGCAGCAACGCCGCGUGCGGGAUGACGGCCUUCGGGUUGUAAACCGCUUUCGCCUGUGACGAAGCGUGAGUGACGGUAAUGGGUGAAGAAGCACCGGCUAACUACGUG